AGGAACCGAUGAAGGACGUGGGAGGCCACGAUAGUCCCCGGGGAGUCGUCAACCAGGCUUUGAUCCGGGGGUUUCCGAAUGGGGAAACCCGGCAGUCGUCAUGGGCUGUCACCCGCUGCUGAACUCAUAGGCAGUGUGGAGGGAACGCGGGGAAGUGAAACAUCUCAGUACCCGCAGGAAGAGAAAACAACCGUGAUUCCGGGAGUAGUGGCGAGCGAAACUGGAUGAGGCCAAACCGUAUGUGUGUGAUACCCGGCAGGGGUUGCGCAUGCGGGGUUGUGGGAUCUCUCUUCCACGGUCUGCCGGCCGUGGGACGAGUCAGAAACCGUUGAUGUAGGCGAAGGACAUGCGAAAGGUCCGGCGUAGAGGGUAAGACCCCCGUAGUCGAAACAUCAGCGGCUCGUUUGAGAGACACCCAAGUAGCACGGGGCCCGAGAAAUCCCGUGUGAAUCUGGC
rnacentral:rRNA from 1 species